rnacentral:rRNA from 1 species
GUUUGAUCAUGGCUCAGAUUGAACGCUGGCGGCAGGCCUAACACAUGCAAGUCGAGCGGAUGAGAAGAGCUUGCUCUUCGAUUCAGCGGCGGACGGGUGAGUAAUGCCUAGGAAUCUGCCUGGUAGUGGGGGAUAACGUUCGGAAACGGACGCUAAUACCGCAUACGUCCUACGGGAGAAAGCAGGGGACCUUCGGGCCUUGCGCUAUCAGAUGAGCCUAGGUCGGAUUAGCUAGUUGGUGGGGUAAUGGCUCACCAAGGCGACGAUCCGUAACUGGUCUGAGAGGAUGAUCAGUCACACUGGAACUGAGACACGGUCCAGACUCCUACGGGAGGCAGCAGUAGGGAAUCUUC